AAAACUCUGGGGACAUUCUCUCGGCCUCUGAUUCUGGUGGCAAAACUCAGUGAGAUUGUGGAUCUCAUCAGCACCACUCUCUGCAUCCCUGAAGUCCAACUACUUUUAACCUUCACAGCCAUCACCAUCGUAGACAAUGUGUUUGAAGGAACCAAGUUGGAAUGGGAUCUUCUUUCAAGGGAUCCAUACAUCCCCUGUGAGGCUGGGUCCUCAUUCUGUUUACACAGUUUGACUUCUGAACAUUUUCAAUCCACUUCCCUUCUAUAAAUUCUCUGAGGUAAGCAGUUCAGAAAAUUGAUUUUUCUAUGUCCUAAUGUUUAACCACUAUGUCCAAAAGUACCUUUUCAUAGAAAGAGAUAAUUAACUUGAUUUCAUUUUCACAUGACUGUCUGGUGACAAGUCGAAUUCCUGGAACAAAACAUCUGCCAUUUUCCUUCCAUGGCAUAAGCUGUUAGGCUGCUGGCUCUGUUCUCAGCAGCAGCAGUCUCCUCACAGUCAGAAUUGCCACCUCGAUGGCUAGGAAAGUUCUCUCUGUUUUCAUGGCUCUUGGAUUAACAUGAACAAGCCUGCUGCUAAGGUGAGUUUAGCCUCGCCAGAAAUGCAUAACCUCUGCAGAGACAGAGAGAGGUUUGGGCAACACAAAGGAAAUAGAAGUACACAUUCAAUCAUAUAAUUUAAGAAUAUUAAACCCAGAGUCAUUUACUAGUUAAGAAUUAUAGGACUGAAAUAAAAAUACAGUCAAAGCCA
rnacentral:lncRNA from 1 species